AGGUCUUGCCAGAGUGGGCUUCAAGGGUUUUGAGAGCAGCGUGGAUGGACCAUUGACUCUUCUUGUGAAAGUGUGUUUCCGGCGUCCUGGAACGCACCCUGUCUGGUUGCCGGGCAAUGUAGCCAGUUGGGAGUUCUGAUUACCCGCACCUGUAUCCCAUCAGCUAUCUGCACACCUGGUCCUGAUCAUCAUCUCUCCUCUUCAUAAGCCCGGACCUGACAUCCAUUCCCUGCCGGAUCGUUAGCCAUGAACAGUAUGUUGUGCCAUAGUAUCAGCCUCAAGUUGGAUAGAAUUUGUUUUGUUGUUUUUUACGUAUUGCUUGCCUUAAACUUACCUCCGUUUGUUCUGUCUUCAGUUACUCACCCGGGUCAUUUACCCCAUUCCCGCCUGGUCAUCGGAGGAUUCCGCUACCCCAUUGGAUCCACCUAUUUACUCCCAUCAACUCACCACCGCUGCCCGCUACGCCACCUGGAUAUAUCUACCCAUUCACAUUCACUUGUAAAUAAAUACUCACCUUCUUCCUACUCUCCUUGUCCCGGUCUGCUUCUGGGUUCGAUUUUGAAAGAACGUGACAACUGGAAUACCUGCUCACCUAGAGUAUCACAGACUCUAAUGUCCCACUACUGGAUUACCUGCUCACCUAGAGUAUCAAAGACUCUAAUGUCCCAUUACUGGAGUACCUGCUCACCGUACAGAGUAUCACAGACUCUAAUGUUCCUCUACUGGAGUACCUGCUCACCGUACAGAGUAUCACAGACUCUAAUGUCCCACUACUGUAGUACCUGUACCUCUUUUAGAAUAUUGAUGACCACCAGCAACUAAAUACAAGGAGUUCCGCUGCCCAAAAAGGAGUACCAGCUCAUAUUUCAGUCCAGUUGAAGCACG